CCUACGGGAGGCAGCAGUGGGGAAUCUUGCGCAAUGGGCGAAAGCCUGACGCAGCAACGCCGCGUGCGGGAUGAAGGCCUUCGGGCUGUAAACCGCUUUCAGCAGGAACGAAAAUGACGGUACCUGCAGAAGAAGGAGCGGCCAACUACGUGCCAGCAGCCGCGGUGACACGUAGGCUCCAAGCGUUGUCCGGAUUUAUUGGGCGUAAAGAGCUCGUAGGCGGUCUAAUAAGUCGGGUGUGAAAACUCUGGGCUCAACCCGGAGACGCCAUCCGAUACUGUUAUGACUUGAGUUCAGGAGGGGAGCGGGGAAUUCCUAGUGUAGCGGUGAAAUGCGCAGAUAUUAGGAGGAACACCGGUGGCGAAGGCGCCGCUCUGGACUGAAACUGACGCUGAGGAGCGAAAGCAUGGGUAGCAAACAGGAUUAGAUACCCUGGUAGUCCAUGCCGUAAACGGUGGGCACUAGGUGUGGGUUUCAACUAACGAAAUCCGCGCCGUCGCUAACGCAUUAAGUGCCCCGCCUGGGGGAGGUACGGUCGCGAGAACUAAACGUUAAACGGUAAGUUAGACGGCGUGAGACGUCGCCGAACGGACGACCGACCGAGGGAGGUAGG
rnacentral:rRNA from 1 species